CCCAAAUGUGCCAAGUCCUAACUGAGUCAGGACCCCAACGGAGCCCUAUCACCUACCCAGACCUCGUGAGACUCCCAUGAACGGCCCAGAGUUUGGCCCAGGUUGAGGCCACUGCCCUCCCCUCUAAACCCCUGCCAGGCCUGCAGCUCACUCAAGCCCACGCUUAAGACCCUGCCUACCCCUUCUCUUGGGGUCCCCUGCUCUCCACCAGCCAGCCCGGCUCCUCACACAGAUACUGCUCAGGCCCCAGGGAGUGGGAGGCCUCCCAGAGAUUAGCCCUUGUUGGCUCAAUGAACCUCUCAGCACAGCCUGCCGGCGGGUGAGAGCCCAGUAAGGGUGGAAAAGAGAACCUGCACCUGUCCAAGAGGGCAGGAGACAGCUCCUGUGGCCGGAGACAGCGGGGGCCCUGGCUGUCGGAAAGAGAGGUGCAAGGAGAGGAGGCGACCCCAGUGUGUCCUCAUUGACAUGGCUGGACCAGGCACCUGUAAGCCAUUAGGGUUGGCCAAAGGCAUGCAGGGAGUGGGUGUUUGUUUUGGGCACUCCCAGAGACGUGAGACAUUUGGAAUUGUUAGGAUGUUUCCCUCUGUUGCAGGGCAUCUGCGGGGCUGGGGGUGUCCGUGCAGCAAGGGUGGGCGGCUGAGAUCGGUCUACACCCUGGGCCUGCUGGAGUGGUUUACACCCAGGGCCACAUUUUGAGCCACGAUGUUCCUGUUGUGAGAGGACAACAGAAGGGCGGCAUCUGGGGUCCCGCUGACCCUUGCACUCCUGGGAGCGGAUUCUGUGAACCUCUCAGGCCCAUCUACCGCUGUGAGGACCACCUCCACAGGGGAAGCUGUGGCCGCCAUCAACCGCGAAGGCCGGGAGGGGUUCCCGUCCGGGUCCUUGAGCCUUGAGAAACUCGGGGCCCUUCGGAAGGAAGCCGGAUCAUGGAGGACAGGAGACUUCUGACCCCCAGGAGGCAUUCCCCGAAGGCUGCGCGGUUGCUGCUGCUGUUGCUGCUGCUGCUGCUGCUGCUGCUGCAGCUGUGUGUGGGCCCUUCCCGGUGCCUUGCCUCUCACCCUAUCCCGAGGACUGGCUGCCUGGAAGCUCCAGGGAUGCUGGGAAGAGAAUGCAACUCUCCUGAUGAAGAGCCCACAAUGGAUCCUAGCCUAUUCUCUCCAGUCUGAAUUUCUCACCUGAUUUGACGUCUGUGCAUAUGCAGUGCUGCUAAUGUCCAGAAGAGAAUGUGCAUAUAAAGAAAUGAGGUGUUCUUCCUCUUUAAAGAAUCAAUAAAUCAUUUAUAAUGCCUCCAGUAGAUUGAUAACAACAUAAUGAAGUCAAUAGUUUGCAUGUGUACUUUGAAUUAUAAUGCUAACCAUUUUUAUGAGGUCUAACAUAAAAUAGAGCUGGUGAGGAGCAGGGUAGAGAACUUGAGACCAGCCACAACCUUCCCUAAUAUGUCCCAUAUGGGGGCUUUGCAGCUCCAGGCAGGUCCAGGGCAGUCCCUGGGUCCCCAGGUCAUUGCUGUGCAAAUGAGUCUGUAGCCUGGUGCUCAGCUAAGUUCUUGUAAAUGGGGCUAUGGCCAGGAAAGGUGGAAACUACCCGUUUUUUGUGUGUGUGUGUUUUUUUUUAAUCUGGCACAAAAGAAUUGGAAUUUUGAAAUUUCUGGUCUGUCUUGUGACUUACAGGCAGAUGCUAACAACCACAAAAUACUAACUGUCCCAGCACCAAAGGCCAAGGGCACAAGCCUUCCCCAGUUCCUCAUGCCAGGUGGUGGCUACCACUAAUAUUUUUUUCUCUUUUUAAAGUUUUAUUGAGAUAUAGUUCAUAUAUUAUACAAUUCACUCACUUAAAGUAUAUAAUUCAGUGGCUUUUGUAUUAUAUUAUUAAUUUAAAAAUUGGGUAAAAUAUACAUAACAUAAAAUUUGUCAUUCUAACCAUUUUUAAGUGGACAAUUCAGUGGCAUUAAUUACAUUCAUAGUGUUGUGGUUACUGCUAUUCAUUUCCAAAACUCUUUCAUCACUCCAAAUAGAAACUUUGUAAUCAUUAACCAGUAAGUGCCCGCAUUUCCUCCCUCCAGCCACUGGUAACCACUAUUCUACUUUCUGUGUCUCUGAAUUUGCCUAUUCUAGGUACAUCAUGUAAGUGUAAUCAUACAUUAUUUAUCAUUUUAUAUCUGGCUUAUUCCAUUUAGCAUAACGCUUUUGAGGUUUAUCCACGUUGUAGGAUGUAUUGCACCUUCAUUCCUUUUUAUGGCUGAAUAACAUUCCAUUGCGUGUACACACCGUGCUUUGUUUAUCCACCCAUCUGUCAAUGGACACUUGAGUUGUUUUCAUCUUUUGGCUAUUGUGAAUAAUGCUGCUAUGAAUGUAGGUAUACAAAUAUCUCUUUGAAACCUUGCUUUCAAUUAUUUUGACUACAUACCCAGAUAUGAAAUUGCUGGGCCAUAAGAUAAUUCUAUGUUUAAGUUUUUGAGGAGCCACCAUACUAUUCUUCCCAGCAGCUGCACCAUUUUAUAUUCCCACCAGCAAUGCACAAGCCUUCCAAUUUCCCCACGUUCUCACUAAUAUUUGUUAUGCUCUCUCUUUCUCUGUAUUUUGGAUAUCCUACUUGGUGUGAGGUAGUAUCUCAUUGUGGUUUUGAUUUGCAUUUCCCUAAUGAUCUGUCAUGUCGAGCAUCUUUUCAUGCACUUAUUUAAAAAAUUUAAAAAAUUUUUAGUAGAGAUCGGGGGGGUCUCACUAUUGCCCACACUGGUCUCGAACUCCUGGCCUUAAGUGAUCUGCCCACCUUGGCUUCCC
rnacentral:lncRNA from 1 species